rnacentral:lncRNA from 1 species
AAACAAGUGGGUGAUCGAGAACGAGGAAGAGAGAAAGAGGCGAGAAAUUGUCUCCGUUCAAAUUUUGGAGUGUGAAUCUGGUGGCUGGGAUCCUUGACAGAAGGCUCUAGUUUACUGCACAAAACAAGGUAAGCUACUCGUCUAUUUUAUUUUCGUAAUCUGGUUCCAUGUGUCUGAAGAAUAAUGUUCUCGCUCUGGUUCAGACGUGGACUUGGAUUUGGUCUCGUAUGAAAUUUUAAUAUCAUGAGAACGUGCUAUCUCUUUUCGCCUGCUAUCGGGCAUAGUAGCGAAGUUUAUUUUGAAUAAUGUUAUGUUGGGAGUAGCGAACGUGUGUUCGGCUUGGCUGUGUGGCCGAGCAAUCGAAAAAAUGUACAAUAGGGCCACGUUUAGGCUUGUUCCGAGUUUGAGUUCCUAUUAACGUCGUUGUUUUGUAAUCAAGUUUAAAGACGGAUUUCAUACCAAGAUUUCAUUCCGUGGGCUUUGGCGGAUAAACUGUGCAACAUGUUUGAAGAUCCUUUCUUUAUUUUGCCUCCCUUGCUCCUCUUUGGUCGUUUUGAAUAGGCAAAUAUGUAGUGGAAUAUGUUUGGAAUCUGUUUUUGGCCCUAUCAACUGAGUUUAUGAACACAGUUAUAUUCUGAGCUUCCAUUGUUUUCAACGUGUGCAAAUUCCACCACAUAUUCAUCUCUUUUUCUCUUGUUUUGAUUUUCUUGUCGUGGUUAUGUGAUCAACUCAUAUUGUGCGCGUGAUGUUUAAAACUAAGUAUCACACAUGAAUACUUACAUAUGUGACCCAUUUUUUCUUUAUUCGCGCGUGACGACUCCCGAAAGUGAGUUCGAGUCCAAUUUUAUUUUGAAUACAUGGUUGUUAUCUUAAAAUUCAUGUUGUAACCAUUGUUCGCCCAGAGUCUGCAAAUGUAUGAAAGUCGCAUAAUGUGUUAAUAUGUGGAGAUCCAUGAAAUGUGUCUGUAUAUUCACUUUAUUGCUUUCAACAAAGUAGUCUCAUGUGCACGUGUCCAAUUAAAUCUUAGUUUGUCGUGCUUUUCAACUGAAUAUGGAGAGUAACUUAAAAUUCCACCUUCUCUCUUUUCCGAUAUGAUAACAAUACUGUACACUUAUUUUCUUCAAAACAUUUUUAGCAGGAGUCGGCUCUAGAAUUUAAACUCAUUAAUUUGACCCAUUGUGCGACCUUGAAGGAGUUGUCUUCCUAUUUGUUUAACAUACUUGAAGUAAUGAAUUAAAUGAGUUUUCCAUUUGAAUUUUGUUAUAAUUGUAUCUGUGAGAAGAAAGCUUACAUGGUAAUACUACGAUAACCAUUUUGAUAAGAACGGCUUAUUAGUAGGUAUCUGUGUAUUAGUUAAAUUAUCCUAUUACUUUAUAUAAAGAAAGAAGGUUGAAUAUCAUAUCCCAGUAAAAUUCAAUUCAUACACCGUGUUUAUGCUUAUAUAUUUAAUAUAUUAUUCACAUGGUCUUUUCCCUUUUGAACCUUUUAAAACUUAAGGAUUUACUUUUAUCACCACUAUUAGCCUUGGAAAAGCUUAAUUUUUAUUUACUUUUAUCACCACUAUUAGCCUUGGAAAAGCUUAAUUUUUAUGUGUUAUGUGUCAGGCUGUCAUUUUCUAAAGAAGCAUUUUCCUUAGAGCAUUUCUAUCACAGUUAUUUGUUUUAGAUACAAAUUACUAGUUUCUUGUUAGAGCCAUUAAUUUCCAAAAGUAGUCUGCACCACUAAUGUCCUAGUGACGUUCAUUUAUAUUCUUUAGUCAUAAUAUUUUUUAAUAUAUUUUUUAAUCGAUUCCUAACUUUACCACUUUUCUAUUUCAUGUGAACUCCAGAGUUGGAGUUCAGCAGUGAAACUUAUUUUUGACCCGAUCAUCGGAUCAAUCACUACGUAGGAUUGCAGAGCCUCGGAGUCCCGCAAAUUAGGGUCCUAAACUCCUAACGGAAUCUAGUGUUCUUUGCCAUCCUUGGAUUUACUUCAUAUUCUUAUUGCAUUGAGUUUCUCUUUAUAACUAAAUCUCAUUGUCUAUUUUGUUGAAAGUAGUUUUUAUUUGAUUGUUGAACUCAUUUUGCUAUGCUACUUGUUGAUUUGUUACGCAGUUUAGCAUCCCGACUUUUCGUUAAUGUCACAUGAUCGCUAUUAGAUGAAAAUACAAUCCAUCGUACUUAAUUAGCAUAGCAACCUCGCGCUUUUCUUUAAACUAUACCGAAGAUAAAAAAUGAUAUUUUUACGCUCGCUUAUGCCAAAUAAGUUACUAAAACUCACUUUUCUUUUUUAAGAGGUCACUUGCUAAUUUUAACUUAUUUCCAAUAAAAUAAUAAUAAAAUUUUAACUUUUUGUAUGUUAUUAUAUCUCUUCAACGUCCAUUCAAAUUUUCAGGUUCAAGUAAAUAUGAGGUAUAUACAUUUUUUUGUUACUAUGUACAACGUAUUUGUAUUUUCACAAUAACUAUUUUUCAUAUUUAUUAUUAUUAUUAUUGUUGUUAUUAAUAAUUUUAUCUUAUUAAUCCCUCAACAUAUUUUUACAUACUCCAAAAUACAUAUUUCAUAAACAAAAUUCUCAUAAAAUACACUCUUAUUUACUCUACAAUAAUUUUUAAACUUUGCAUAUUUUUAAUUUCUGUAUGGAAUCUUGCAUUUAUAUGAGGGAAUUAGAAUGCUCCUUUUACGUUUAAAUGCAUGUAUAUGUUUACAAUUAUUAUGUUACAUUCUUGUACAUGGUAGCAUUACAUCUCCUACACCUCAAAGUUUCUCCUUGAAAAAUAAAAAAUAAUAAUAAAAGUGUUCUUAUCACCGUUUAAGCAAGUGAUAAAAAUAAAAGUUUCUUCCUAAUAUUUUCUAAGCUGAGCGUAAGGAAUAUCUUCGAAUAGGCUCUGAGGGGUGCCUAAUACCUUUCCCUCGAGUAAUCAAAAUCCUUGGAAUUUUAAAAUGUUUUCAAUAGACCAAAACAGAGUUUUACAUAAAAAAUAAUUUUUAAACAAAUUAGGUGGCGAUUCUAAAAAAAAUAAAUUCGCAAAACCCGAGAGUCACGACAUAGGCCCCCAUACGUUGUGUGCUGUUUCGACCUGUUCGAAAUAGGGUGCGACACAAUUCUAAAGAGAACGACUCUUAUAGAAAUCAUUACUUGCAUAAAUAACGAAUAAAAGACAGUAGUAGGUUUUCGGACGUACCUGUAUCAUAGCGUGGAGCUUUUAUUCAGAUUGACUUUAUCUAGUGACACUCUCAGAG